rnacentral:lncRNA from 13 species
CUAGAAUGCACCAUGGACCCCACAUUCCUGCUGGCCUUUCCUUUGCUCUUGGCUCUAUCAACACCUUGUAAUGCUUGUGUUUGUAAAUUACUGCACCCCCAGAGUAUUUACUGCCUGACGGAUGUGGGUGAGUCUAGGGAAACACCAGGGAAGUCUACCAAGGAGAAGGUCUCACCACUGGGGUGUAGAACUGCAGAGGUGGGGGAGCUUGUAGGAUGAGGAAAUCUUAAGCUUUUAGAAUAAAGGAAUCUUAAGUCUAUGUCCCCUGACCCAUUCUUUCUUCCUUCAAGUCAUAAUUGUUGAUAUAUUGGGACCAGGACAAAUCUCUGGAGCUAGACGAACUUUCCAAGUCAACGUCACUAAGGUAAAUCCAAUAACACUUUUCUUCUCAGCCCCUUCCCCAUAAAUAAACAAAUCUCUCCAAUCUGCUCUUGCUGAGGCAGUUGGUUUCUGGAGUCCAAGAACUUCUGUAAAAAUACACAAUCCUAACCCACUCUCCCUCCCCAUCACAGGUGCUGAAGGCUCCCAAGGGGACCCGUGAAAUCCAUUAUAUCUACACACCCCGCAGAGUGGAGAACUGUGGUUACACAGUGGUGAAUUCUCACCAGUCAGAAUUACUUAUUGCAGGUGAGCACUUCUAUUUACCCCACAACCCCUCCACCUCAUACCUCCCCUUGAAAGCACCAUUUUCCUUUCCAACUCCAGCACCACCAAGGACCAAGGAAGGGCUCCUUUUCCAGGGUCUAACAGAUUCUUCCUAGGGAAACACCAGACCAGCCAGUCAUGGCUGACCGUAUCCACCUAGGGUUUCCAUACUUUCUAGGGCUGACUACCUAUGAGCCAUAGCACGUCCUUCCUGAGGGUCAACCCUCCGUGCUGCACUGACUCUCAGGCCAUGCUCUCCGCUUGCCACAGGUUAUCUGGUCGUGGGGAAAGUGUACUUCACAAAAUGCCAUCUGUUUUAUUUCUGGAAUCAACUUACAAUACAUCAGCAAUUGGGUUUCCAGUCAGUGUACGAUGCAGGAUGCAACUGUCAAGUGGAAAUGUUCUCAGUAGAUCACAUCUGAUGUUCAGACAAGAGGAGCAUGAAUGGUUCAGUAAGGAAAUAAUGCUCUGUUGUUCUGAUCAGAGUAUAAAUUGCUCUUGACCUUGACUUACCAUAGGCUUCAAUUUACUACAAAAUGUAUACUAUUAUAGGCCUAAUGUCAUUGAAGUGAAGACCACUUGAGAUGUUAAUGGGAUAAAAUGUGCUCUUAUCUCACUUGACAGAGCUAUAAACACAAUAGCUUUUAGCAAAACUUGGAGUUUCAAUCCUUUUUCAGUACUUCACGUCCCCUCUGUAUUUCCAAUACAGGUGGCUAUUUUUUUUCUUUUCUUUUUGAUGCAUUUUUCUUUCCCACCCUUAGAUUAACCCAGAGCAACUCUUAAAUAUGCCCUUAAAUAUGCAUUUUGCCUUAUCUGAUUAUCCACGUUCUCCUUCAGUGAACCUUGUCCCUGUUUUAUCUUUGUUGUAAAUCCCAAACUAUGGCUCAAUACAGACAUACAUAGUAAUUCUAUGUGAGAAGUUAUUACUUCCAGGUCCCUGCAUGGAACUGUUAGGAAUCUGAGACUUGGCAGGUAAGGAAACUCAUCUUUCCAAAAAAAUGAUCAAAUGCAGAGAAAAUGAGCCUCAGAAGAUACUGUGGGCUUCAAGUUCACAGUGUUGGUAGUGAGGACUCAUUUCUCUUGAAUUUGUGGUCCA